AGCUCCAAUAGCGUAUAUUAAAGUUGUUGCAGUUAAAAAGCUCGUAGUUGAACUUCUGUCUGUAUGUCAACCCUACAAGGAUCUGAUAAGACGGGCAUCCCCGAUCGACGGUUUACUGUACUUAAGUGUUCAUAUAACCUGAACCGGAUUUUACUUUGAAAAAAUUAGAGUGUUUCAAGCAGGCGAUUUGCUGGAAUACAUUAGCAUGGAAUAAUAGAAGAUGACCACCAUACAUUUUAUUGGUAUAUUGUUGGAGGUAAUGAUUAACAGGGACAGUUGGGGGCAUUAGUAUUUAAUUGUCAGAGGUGAAAUUCAUUGAUUAAUUAAAGACUAACUUAUGCGAAAGCAUUUGCCAAGGAUGUUUUCA
rnacentral:rRNA from 1 species